rnacentral:rRNA from 1 species
CAGGCCUAACACAUGCAAGUCGAGCGGUAGAGAGGUGCUUGCACCUCUUGAGAGCGGCGGACGGGUGAGUAAUACCUAGGAAUCUGCCUGGUAGUGGGGGAUAACGUUCGGAAACGGACGCUAAUACCGCAUACGUCCUACGGGAGAAAGCAGGGGACCUUCGGGCCUUGCGCUAUCAGAUGAGCCUAGGUCGGAUUAGCUAGUUGGUGAGGUAAUGGCUCACCAAGGCUACGAUCCGUAACUGGUCUGAGAGGAUGAUCAGUCACACUGGAACUGAGACACGGUCCAGACUCCUACGGGAGGCAGCAGUGGGGAAUAUUGGACAAUGGGCGAAAGCCUGAUCCAGCCAUGCCGCGUGUGUGAAGAAGGUCUUCGGAUUGUAAAGCACUUUAAGUUGGGAGGAAGGGCAUUAACCUAAUACGUUAGUGUUUUGACGUUACCGACAGAAUAAGCACCGGCUAACUCUGUGCCAGCAGCCGCGGUAAUACAGAGGGUGCAAGCGUUAAUCGGAAUUACUGGGCGUAAAGCGCGCGUAGGUGGUUUGUUAAGUUGAAUGUGAAAUCCCCGGGCUCAACCUGGGAACUGCAUCCAAAACUGGCAAGCUAGAGUAUGGUAGAGGGUAGUGGAAUUUCCUGUGUAGCGGUGAAAUGCGUAGAUAUAGGAAGGAACACCAGUGGCGAAGGCGACUACCUGGACUGAUACUGACACUGAGGUGCGAAAGCGUGGGGAGCAAACAGGGUUAGAUACCCUGGUAGUCCACGCCGUAAACGAUGUCAACUAGCCGUUGGGAACCUUGAGUUCUUAGUGGCGCAGCUAACGCAUUAAGUUGACCGCCUGGGGAGUACGGCCGCAAGGUUAAAACUCAAAUGAAUUGACGGGGGCCCGCACAAGCGGUGGAGCAUGUGGUUUAAUUCGAAGCAACGCGAAGAACCUUACCAGGCCUUGACAUCCAAUGAACUUUCCAGAGAUGGAUUGGUGCCUUCGGGAACAUUGAGACAGGUGCUGCAUGGCUGUCGUCAGCUCGUGUCGUGAGAUGUUGGGUUAAGUCCCGUAACGAGCGCAACCCUUGUCCUUAGUUACCAGCACGUAAUGGUGGGCACUCUAAGGAGACUGCCGGUGACAAACCGGAGGAAGGUGGGGAUGACGUCAAGUCAUCAUGGCCCUUACGGCCUGGGCUACACACGUGCUACAAUGGUCGGUACAAAGGGUUGCCAAGCCGCGAGGUGGAGCUAAUCCCAUAAAACCGAUCGUAGUCCGGAUCGCAGUCUGCAACUCGACUGCGUGAAGUCGGAAUCGCUAGUAAUCGUGAAUCAGAAUGUCACGGUGAAUACGUUCCCGGGCCUUGUACACACCGCCCGU